rnacentral:rRNA from 1 species
GGACCGAUAUAUCGGUCGUGCCUCGGUACGUACUGGUAUUGUUGGUUUCUCCCUUCUGACGAACCAUGAUGUCAUUUAUUUGGUGUUGUGGGGAAUCAGGACUGUUACUUUGAAAAAAUUAGAGUGUUUAAAGCAGGCUCACGCUUGAAUACAUUAGCAUGGAAUAAUGAAAUAGGACGUUUGAUUCUAUUUUGUUGGUUUCUAGAGUCGCCGUA